GAUGAACGCUGGCGGCGUGCCUAAUACAUGCAAGUCGAGCGAAUGGAUUGAGAGCUUGCUCUUAUGAAGUUAGCGGCGGACGGGUGAGUAACACGUGGGUAACCUGCCCAUAAGACUGGGAUAACUCCGGGAAACCGGGGCUAAUACCGGAUAACAUUUUGAACCGCAUGGUUCGAAAUUGAAAGGCGGCUUCGGCUGUCACUUAUGGAUGGACCCGCGUCGCAUUAGCUAGUUGGUGAGGUAACGGCUCACCAAGGCAACGAUGCGUAGCCGACCUAAGGGGGUGAUGGGCCACACUGGGACUGAGACACGGCCCAGACUCCUACGGGAGGCAGCAGUAGGGAAUCUUCCGCAGUGGACGAAAGUCUGACGGAGCAACGCCGCGUGAGUGAUGAAGGCUUUCGGGUCGUAAAACUCUGUUGUUAGGGAAGAACAAGUGCUAGUUGAAUAAGCUGGCACCUUGACGGUACCUAACCAGAAAGCCACGGCUAACUACGUGCCAGCCGCCGCAGUAA
rnacentral:rRNA from 1 species